rnacentral:rRNA from 1 species
UACGAAGGGUGCAAGCGUUAAUCGGAAUUACUGGGCGUAAAGCGCGCGUAGGUGGUUCGUUAAGUUGGAUGUGAAAGCCCCGGGCUCAACCUGGGAACUGCAUCCAAAACUGGCAAGCUAGAGUAUGGCAGAGGGUGGUGGAAUUUCCUGUGUAGCGGUGAAAUGCGUAGAUAUAGGAAGGAACACCAGUGGCGAAGGCGACCACCGGGGCUAAUACUGACACUGAGGUGAGAAAGAGUGGGAAGCAAACAGGAUUAGAUACCAGUAGGC